rnacentral:rRNA from 1 species
AGAUUGAACGCUGGCGGCAGGCCUAACACAUGCAAGUCGAGCGGUAGAGAGGUGCUUGCACCUCUUGAGAGCGGCGGACGGGUGAGUAAUGCCUAGGAAUCUGCCUAGUGGUGGGGGAUAACGUUCGGAAACGGACGCUAAUACCGCAUACGUCCUACGGGAGAAAGCGGGGGACCUUCGGGCCUCGCGCCUUUAGAUGAGCCUAGGUCGGAUUAGCUAGUUGGUGA